rnacentral:rRNA from 1 species
UACGAAGGGGGCUAGCGUUGUUCGGAAUUACUGGGCGUAAAGCGCACGUAGGCGGCUUUGUAAGUUAGAGGUGAAGGCCCGGGGCUCAACCCCGGAAUUGCCUUUAAGACUGCAUCGCUUGAAUCCGGGAGAGGUGAGUGGAAUUCCGAGUGUAGAGGUGAAAUUCGUAGAUAUUCGGAAGAACACCAGUGGCGAAGGCGGCUCACUGGACCGGUAUUGACGCUGAGGUGCGAAAGCGUGGGGAGCAAACAGG